UGGAAUACAUCGAUGGGUAUAUUGUCAAGU
rnacentral:piRNA from 1 species